CGGUAACAAACCGGAGGAUGGUGGAGAUGACGUCAAGUCAUCAUGGCCCUUACGGCCAGGUCUACACACGUGCUACAAUGGUCGGUACAAAGGGUUGCCAAGCCGCGAGGUGGAGCUAAUCCCAUAAAACCGAUCGUAGUCCGGAUCGCAGUCUGCAACUCGACUGCGUGAAGUCGGAAUCGCUAGUAAUCGUGAAUCAGAAUGUCACGGUGAAUACGUUCCCGGGCCUUGUACACACCGCCCGUCACACCAUGGGAGUGGGUUGCUCCAGAAGUAGCUAGUCUAACCUUCGGGGGGACGGUUACCACGGAGUGAUUCAUGACUGGGGUGAAGUCGUAACAAGGUAACA
rnacentral:rRNA from 1 species